CGGUCCCGGCCGGAGGGGACUGGGGAGACUGCGGAGGCCCCAGGCUCUGCCGACCCCGCCUCCCCGCGGCAUCCCUGGAGCCUGCCCCCGGGCACCGCUUCUGCUGCGCCGCCGGCUCGGAAGCUUUUCUUAGGAGGCGUGUCCCUUUUUUCCCCCAUUUAUUUGCCUGGGCAGCCGCAGCCGGAGCGGACCGGGUGACGGUGGGACCGGCUGUCUCGGCGGCAGCAGCUGCUGGCGCGGGAUCAGCGCCUGGUGGGAGCGCGGCAAUGGCUUCGCCACCCCCAGCCUUCCUCGAGCCCUGUAGGGAAUUCCUCCCUUCGGUGACCCAAAACAGGCUCCGUAUUGCUGCUGCAAGAUGGAGGCACAGCAUCGCACCACUCCCGCAGGAGCGGAGCAAAGCCGGUCAUCACGAGAACAGUUGAUGGACAGGGAACUGGAACAGCGAGCCAUCAGCUGGGAGCUGGCGGGGCUGCCAGCGCUGGCGUGGUCUCUCUCCCUGGAUCAUCCCACGAAAGGUCGCGACGUCAAUAAUGGGAGCCCUGCUACACACAAGAAAACAAGGACCAGACACAGCUUUAGGAAUCAAACCUUCUCACAGCCCCUGAAAUCCCGUCCAUAAUUCAGCCCAGUGCUUUUUCCCGACAGUGUUUACUCUGGGCAACAGACAAGGUCAGCAGUGCCUGCUCAAGGAGCCUGUAGCAGCUCUUACCUCGAGAGAGGAGCUUUUUAUAUUCCCAUCUCCUAUCCAUUUACUAUUCGUGCUCUACACGUGACUCUGGCUUUGCCACAGUCGGAUACGUGGAUAGCUUUCAAAGCCAUUUCAGAAAUCUGAACAACGCUGUCAUCUGAAAUAACUCAGGGAGCACUCAGAAAUCCGGUGGUGUCUAAAGCAAGCACAGUGCUUGCCCUGCUCGGACAAUACGGCUCCCUGGAGGUGUGAGCAGGGUGCCUGUGUCAGGCUGUACCCAGACGAGGAUGCCCGUGCCGGCGAUGUGCUAGGGCAAGCUGGAAAGCAUGGCUCCAGCAGAGAUCACAGAGGGCGACGUGGGAAUGUGGGAAGGAAGCACGGAGUGGGAACGAUGGUUCGGUGGUGCUUGGGGAGGAGAAACAUAUGGCAAUAUUUAUCUGGCCAGGCAGCGGUCUGCUGCUGCUUCGGAUGUGAGAUGAAGAACUCGUGUCAUGGGAAGAUUCAGGUCCUGAAACUGGAUGCUGACAGAUGUUAAACCACUGGGGGAAACAUUGAUGCCUCUAGAACCUGGUGGUAAGUAUAUUGUCAUGGGUGAUACCAGCCACACACCACCUGAGCUCGAGAUUGUUCCGGUGACACUUUUAGCAAAUCCAAGUGGUCUUGUUCUCUUGGCACGUUGUUUCCACCCACCAUUUUACCUAGCCAGGGCCCAGGUAAUUGCCCAGGCUAUUCCUAUUCCAUCAAAGAUCCCAGUAGACGAUCAGGCACCAGAAGUCUACUGGGCAGAAAUGGUGGGUGAGGACAACCCUAUGAUUCCCUGCCACAUUCAGCAGGGAAUGAAAAGCUUGUUAGACACAGGAGAAGAUGUGACGAUCAUCCCUGAAAGGGCAUGGCUGUCACAUUGGGAAUUGCAAAACGUAGCAGGCAAAAUACAGGGCAUAGGGGGUGCCCCAUUGGCAAGAAUAUGAAAAAAUGUCAUAUAAUUUGAGGGGCUGUAAAGGCAAUUGGCUAAUACACGGCCAACUGUUGGAGAUUAAAGGGUUCCCGUGUGGGGAAGGGACCUCAUGUCACAAUGGGGGGUACACAUUAAAAUCCCCAAAACCCCUUGGGAUUUUUAAGAGUGGCCACUGUGGAGUGUCCUACCCAGAAGCUGAAUUGGAUCAGUGAUGAGCCAGUAUGGGUAGCUCAGUGGCUGCUCAGCAAUGAAAAAUUGCAGGCGCUCAAUGAACUCGUGGAGGAGCACUUGACUCGAGGUAACAUUGAGGCAACAUUCAACCCUUGGAACUCCCCAGUUUUUGUUAUUAGAAAGCUGGGGACGAACAAGUGGUGGCUCCUCCACAAUCUCAGGAAAAUAAAUGAAGUCACUGUCAACAUGAGACCCCCUUCAAGCAGGGAUGCCCUCCCCAGCGAUGCUUCCCCAAAACUGGAAUCUGGCAGUUAUUGAUAUCAAAGGCUGUUUUUUCAGAAUUCCUCUUGACCCAGCUGAUGCCCUGUGUUUUUCAUUCUCAGUCCCAACCAAAACCCAAGAAGCUCCAUGAGAAAAUUCCAUUAAAAAGUGUUGCCACAAGGAGUGAAAGCUUCUCCUACCAUUUGGCAAUGGUACA